rnacentral:rRNA from 1 species
UGGGUAACCUGCCUCAAAGAGGGGAAUAGCCUCCCGAAAGGGAGAUUAAUACCGCAUAAUAUGUUUAGGUCGCAUGACUUUAACAUCAAAGGAUUUUCUUUUAGAAAUUCCACUUUGAGAUGGACCCGCGGCGCAUUAGCUAGUUGGUGAGGUAACGGCUCACCAAGGCAACGAUGCGUAGCCGACCUGAGAGGGUGAUCGGCCACAUUGGAACUGAGACACGGUCCAGACUCCGUAGGGACG